UGCGCAGGCGGUUCGUUGUGUCGGCGGUGAAAGCCCCGGGCUUAACCUGGGAAUGGCCGUUGAAACUGGCGAACUGGAGUGUGGCAGAGGGGGGUGGGAAUUCCGCGUGUAGCAGUGAAAUGCGUAGAGAUGCGGAGGAACACCGAUGGCGAAGGCAGCCCCCUGGGCUGACACUGACGCUCAGGCACGAAAGCGUGGGGAGCAAACA
rnacentral:rRNA from 1 species